ensembl:snoRNA
UGGAUCGAUGAUGACUGCUGGAGGUGUCUGAGUGAGGACAGUGACUAGCCUCUGGAUCUGAGGUCCUU